GUACACGCUGUGACUAGCAUAUCAAUAAGCGGAGGAAAAGAAACUAACAAGGAUUCCCUCAGUAACGGCGAGUGAAGCGGGAAGAGCUCAAAUUUGAAAUCUUGAAAGGGUUCACCUUUCACGAAUUGUAGUUUAAAGAAGUGUUUUCUGUUACGAUCGUAAUAUAAGUUCUUUGGAAUAGGACAUCACAGAGGGUGAGAAUCCCGUCUAUGAUUGCGAUUUGUAGCUUUGUGAUACACUUUCAAAGAGUCGGGUUGUUUGGGAAUGCAGCCCAAAACGGGAGGUAAAUUUCUUCUAAGGCUAAAUAUUGGCGAGAGACCGAUAGCGAACAAGUACCGUGAGGGAAAGAUGAAAAGAACUUUGAAAAGAGAGUUAAACUAGUACGUGAAAUUGUCAAAAGGGAAGCGUUUAACACCAGUGUUGUUUUCUGAAAAUCAACCUCUGUUAGCUUUAUGCAUGUUUGUUUAGACCUAAUCAGCUAUCUUGCAUGUUCUAUUGUUUGCAGUGGUGCACUUUUCAGUUUACAGGUCAACAUCAGUUUUUUUUACCGUAAAAAAGUUAAAGAAAGGUAGCUCAUGGCUCCGGUCGUGAGUGUUAUAGUCUUUUUCCUAUGCGGUAGGAGAGACUGAGGUCUGCAGUGUAGGCUAUUUGGCUAGAUACUCAGGUGCUAUGUGAUACCAUUUCAUAAACAACUUGUUGAUUAUGUUUUGUCCAUUGCAUACUCGCUUGUACUAUCAUACCUACGCUUAGGAUGUUGACGCAUGAGAUAUACGCG
rnacentral:rRNA from 1 species